rnacentral:rRNA from 1 species
UACAGAGGUGGCAAGCGUUGUUCGGAAUUACUGGGCGUAAAGGGCGCGUAGGCGGUUCGUUAAGUCCUGUGUGAAAUCCCCCGGCUCAACUGGGGAACUGCACAGGAAACUAGCGGGCUUGAGUUCGGGAGAGGGAAGCGGAAUUCCGGGUGUAGCGGUGAAAUUCGUAGAUAUUCGGAGGAACACCAGUGGCGAAGGCGGCUCACUGGUCCGGUACUGACGCUGAGGUGCGAAAGCGUGGGGAGCAAACAGGG